CCCCUCAGACGGGGGCAGCCCUGGGCUGGGGGGCUGGGGACACCCGUGUCCCUCCCCCAGCCCCACAGGGGCCAAUCCUGCUUAAACCUUUGCUCUCCUUGCCCAGGCACUCUUGGCAGGAACCCAAAAUGAUCUGUGGGAUGUGAGUGGGCCGGGGGGACUGGGGGGCAUCCAGUCUGGGAACUGGGGGACACUUUGGGCCCCCCAUCCCUCACCUGGCACCGGGGACAUCCCAGUGACCAGCCAGGGCUCCUGGGCUCUCUCCAGGUGGAUUUAGUGGACGUUGGGAUCCUGAAGAUGGCUCAGGCUCCCAAUACAUCCCACUGCACCCAGUGUGUCUCUGAGCCUGUCUUUGUCCCCAGCCCCCUGUGUUGGAGAAGGUGGUGGGUCCUGUUGGUGAGAAAGGCGUGGCUGCAUCCCUGGAUGGCUGAGGCCUGGUGGUGACACCCGUGCCCUGUCCCCCUCCAGUGGCAUGAGGAGAUGAUCAUCCCUGGAAGAACCCCCUGAUUUCCCUCAGAGCCCAGGGGCAUUUCCCCUGAAUGAUCAAUAAAUCCCUUCAGCAAAGCUACUCUGCUUGA